rnacentral:rRNA from 1 species
AUGAACGCUGGCGGCGUGCCUAAUACCUGCAAGUCGCGCGAACGGACGAGAAGCUUGCUUCUCUGAUGUUAGCGGCGGACGGGUGAGUAACACGUGGAUAACCUACCUAUAAGACUGGGAUAACUUCGGGAAACCGGAGCUAAUACCGGAUAAUAUUUUGAACCGCAUGGUUCAAAAGUGAAGGACGGUCUUGCUGUCACUUAUAGAUGGAUCCGCGCUGCAUUAGCUAGUUGGUAAGGUAACGGCUUACCAAGGCAACGAUGCAUAGCCGACCUGAGAGGGUGAUCGGCCACACUGGAACUGAGACACGGUCCAGACUCCUACGGGAGGCAGCAGUAGGGAAUCUUCCGCAAUGGGCGAAAGCCUGACGGAGCAACGCCGCGUGAGUGAUGAAGGUCUUCGGAUCAUAAAACUCUGUUAUUAGGGAAGAACAUAUGUGUAAGUAACUGUGCACAUCUUGACGGUACCUAAUCAGAAAGCCACGGCUAACUACGUG